GGGUUGUGAGGUUAAGCGACUAAGCGUACACGGUGGAUGCCCUGGCAGUCAGAGGCGAUGAAGGACGUGCUAAUCUGCGAUAAGCGUCGGUAAGGUGAUAUGAACCGUUAUAACCGGCGAUUUCCGAAUGGGGAAACCCAGUGUGUUUCGACACACUAUCAUUAACUGAAUCCAUAGGUUAAUGAGGCGAACCGGGGGAACUGAAACAUCUAAGUACCCCGAGGAAAAGAAAUCAACCGAGAUUCCCCCAGUAGCGGCGAGCGAACGGGGAGCAGCCCAGAGCCUGAAUCAGUGUGUGUGUUAGUGGAAGCGUCUGGAAAGGCGUGCGAUACAGGGUGACAGCCCCGUACACAAAAAUGCACAUGCUGUGAGCUCGAUGAGUAGGGCGGGACACGUGGUAUCCUGUCUGAAUAUGGGGGGACCAUCCUCCAAGGCUAAAUACUCCUGACUGACCGAUAGUGAACCAGUACCGUGAGGGAAAGGCGAAAAGAACCCCGGCGAGGGGAGUGAAAAAGAACCUGAAACCGUGUACGUACAAGCAGUGGGAGCACGCUUAGGCGUGUGACUGCGUACCUUUUGUAUAAUGGGUCAGCGACUUAUAUUCUGUAGCAAGGUUAACCGAAUAGGGGAGCCGAAGGGAAACCGAGUCUUAACUGGGCGUUAAGUUGCAGGGUAUAGACCCGAAACCCGGUGAUCUAGCCAUGGGCAGGUUGAAGGUUGGGUAACACUAACUGGAGGACCGAACCGACUAAUGUUGAAAAAUUAGCGGAUGACUUGUGGCUGGGGGUGAAAGGCCAAUCAAACCGGGAGAUAGCUGGUUCUCCCCGAAAGCUAUUUAGGUAGCGCCUCGUGAAUUCAUCUCCGGGGGUAGAGCACUGUUUCGGCAAGGGGGUCAUCCCGACUUACCAACCCGAUGCAAACUGCGAAUACCGGAGAAUGUUAUCACGGGAGACACACGGCGGGUGCUAACGUCCGUCGUGAAGAGGGAAACAACCCAGACCGCCAGCUAAGGUCCCAAAGUCAUGGUUAAGUGGGAAACGAUGUGGGAAGGCCCAGACAGCCAGGAUGUUGGCUUAGAAGCAGCCAUCAUUUAAAGAAAGCGUAAUAGCUCACUGGUCGAGUCGGCCUGCGCGGAAGAUGUAACGGGGCUAAAC
rnacentral:rRNA from 1 species